AAAAACAGAUCAAAUAAUUCUUUUAAAAUGUAUUUUUAUUUGCAGAAGCCACAGAAGCCAAACUUGACAAUGUUAAUGAAUGUUCCCCAAAAGUUCAGGAAUAUUGGUGGUGGUGAUAGUUCUAGAAUUGAAAUUCCUAAGUCACAGAAGAAAAGCCUCAAACAAAAAAAA